GAUGAACGCUGGCGGCGUGCCUAAUACAUGCAAGUCGAGCGAAUGGAUUAAGAGCUUGCUCUUAUGAAGUUAGCGGCGGACGGGUGAGUAACACGUGAGUAACCUGCCCAUAAGACUGGGGUAACUCCGGGAAACCGGGGCUAAUACCGGAUAACAUUUUGAACCGCAUGGUUCGAAAGUGAAAGGCGGCUUCGGCUGUCACUUAUGGAUGGACCCGCGUCGCAUUAGCUAGUUGGUGAGGUAACGGCUCACCAAGGCAACGAUGCGUAGCCGACCUGAGAGGGUGAUCGGCCACACUGGGACUGAGACACGGCCCAGACUCCUACGGGAGGCAGCAGUAGGGAAUCUUCCGCAAUGGACGAAAGUCUGACGGAGCAACGCCGCGUGAGUGAUGAAGGCUUUCGGGUCGUAAAACUCUGUUGUUAGGGAAGAACAAGUGCUAGUUGAAUAAGCCGGCACCUUGACGGUACCUAACCAGAAAGCCACGGCUAACUACGUGCCAGCAGCCGCCGUAA
rnacentral:rRNA from 1 species